ensembl:lncRNA
GCCACCCCAGAUCUGAUAGGUAGUUGGUCAAGUUCGUCAACACAAGAAAUAAGAGAAAUGCUGUCAAUCAAUGAUGACCGCUGAUCAACUGAUUUAGGGUCAGUUUUACAUUUUUAACUAACACAGUAAUGGUCGUGCUGAGGCUGUGAGAGCUGAUUUCUGCUCGGCGGACAUUUAGCUAUGCAGGUCAGGUGACCCAUGAGAUGAGCGCGCUGCACAUGCUGCUGGUCCGUGAAACAGGAGGACGACGACGGUCACAGUGACAACGUGAACAAUAUAAAAACGAUAAAGACGCUGAAAUCUGUCGUUGAGAGUUCUGAGACAGUAAAUCAUGGGAGAGAGAGGGGAUGUGACAUGCAGCAAAGGACCGGGAUUCGAACCGCAGUUGGCUGCGUACGUGAUUCGAACCUGCGCGGGAAGAUCCCAAUGGAUUUCUAGUCCAUCGCCUUCGUCCACCACUCGGCCAAAGCACGGGCAUAAAGGGCAGCUUGAAGGGGCGAAAAGGGGGAUAGAGGGAAGAAGAGAAAAGAAAAAGAGGAGAAAAUGAUUGACAACAGGAUUUGCACCUGGAGUCUCCCACCCCAAGGAUGGACGUGUUACUAUUACACCACAAGAGUUGUUAUUUUUGUAGUUGUUUUUAUUUUUGCAAAUAGUUGCAUAAGCAACUAUUCUGUUUGUUUUUUUUUGCAAAUAGUUGCAACGGCAACUAAUUAUUAUUAUUUUUUGCAACAGCAAAUAUACUUAUUUUUCAACAGUGAAC